rnacentral:lncRNA from 1 species
GAAGUCAUAUAUGUUAUUCAAGAUGUCAUAUACAUUCGCAGAAAGUCAUAUAUAUUAUUCGGGAUGUCAUAUAUAUUCAUAGAAAGUCAUAUAAGGCAUUAAGAAGCCAUAUAUAUUGCUUAGGAUGUCAUAUAUAUUCAUAGGAUAUCAUAUAUAUUGUUCGGAAUAUCAUUUAUACUCAUAGAAAGUCAUAUGAGGCAUUAGGAAGUCAUAUCUGUUGUUCAGGAUAUCAUAUAUAUAUUCAUAGGAAAUCAUACAAGGC